GGAAUAUCUUUUACCUUUAGAGGGAAAAAGGUCAAAGUUAGAACAUUGGAAGAGAGAGAUAAAUUUUUGGCUACAUACGGAGAGGACCUUCAAAAAGGAAUUGAAUUACCUUCUGGGCCUGGGGCAAAGCCAGCAUUAACACCAGCACCUGGGGAACCCGAAGAUCCAGAGAAGACACCACCCCUGGAGAAAUAACCAGAUAGAUCCAGGAUGUCUCUGCAAUUGCUGAGUUGGAACAUUAAUGGUUGUAACAUUCCGGAAAAAGGAAGAAAAUAUUUCAUAUAUUAAAAAAGAACAAUUGGACAUUAUCUGUUUACAAGAAACACAUGUGACGAGGCUCCACAGAAAAGUGUUAAUAAAUAAAAGAUUGGGCCAGGAAUUUGUUUCGUCGGACAAAGUUAAGAAGAGAGGCGUGGUGAUAUAUGCAAAAGAGAGCCUGUCACCUAAAUUCUUAUUUAAAGAUGAACAUGGAAGAAUUUUGGCCAUUGAGAUACAAUAUCAAGGAGAGAAACUGUUGAUAUUAGGAAUCUAUGCACCUAAUGAAGGGAAAUCGGAAUUUUACAAGAAGCUGCAGGGGACAAUGCUGGACUAUCUGGAUUACAACAACAUCAUAAUGAUGGGAGAUAUGAACGGGGUCGUGUCAACUAACAUGGACAAGUCACAAAGUCAAAAUGUUACAAAAGACGGCAGACUACCUAAAACCUUUUUUGAAAUGACUGACAAUAUGGAUUUGAUUGAUAUUUGGAGGACAAAGAACCCACUAGGUAGAGAAGGAACAUUCUUUUCUGAAGCCCAACUGACCUGGACAAGAAUCGACCAAAUAUGGAUUUCUAGAGGCCUGGCACCUAAGGUCAGAAAAGUGGAAAUCUGCCCAAAGACCUGCUCUGAUCAUAAUGCAGUAAAGAUGGAUAUGACACUACUACCAACUGGAUCCUUUAGAUGGAAGAUGAAUGACAAUUUGUUUAGAGAUCAGGAAAUCACCAAGAAGGCCCAAAAAGUUUUGAAGGACUAUUUUGAGAUAAACAUGAACAAUUCGGUGGAAAAAGAAUCGUCUGGGACGCAAGCAAAGCUGUAAUGAGGGGAUUCUUGAUACAACAGAAUGUAG